UCGGUGCCCUACUCCCGGGAGUUCAAGCACAAGUACGACUACUUCCGCAAGAAGCUGAAGAAACCUGCUGACAUACCCAACAGAUUUGAGAUGAAAUUACACAGCAAUAACAUUUUUGAGGAGUCCUACAGAAGAAUCAUGUCUGUGAAGAGACCUGAUGUAUUAAAAGCCAGGCUGUGGAUUGAAUUUGAGUGAGAAAAAGGACUUGACUAUGGAGGUGUGGCCCGAGAAUGUUUUUUUCUCUUGUCCAAGGAGAUGUUUAACCCUUACUAUGGUUUCUUUGAAUACUCAGCAACAAAAGAGACAACUACACACUUCAGAUGAAUCCUAAUUCAGGUCUCUGUAACGAAGAUCACCUGUUGUACUUCACCUUCAUUGGCCGGGGUGGCCGGCCUGGCUGUGUACCACGGGAAGCUGCUGGACGGCUUCUUCAUCAGACCUUUCUACAAGAUGAUGCUGGGGAAGCCCAUAACCCUGAAGGACAUGGAGUCAGUGGACAGUGAAUACUACAACUCUCUGAAGUGGAUCCUGGAAAAUGACCCCACCGAGCUGG